rnacentral:rRNA from 1 species
CUGCUGCCUCCCGUAGGAGUUUGGGCCGUGUCUCAGUCCCAAUGUGGCCGGUCACCCUCUCAGGUCGGCUACUGAUCGUCGCCUUGGUGAGCCGUUACCUCUCCAACUAGCUAAUCAGACGCGGGUCCAUCUCAUACCACCGGAGUUUUUCACACCAAACCAUGCGGUUUUGUGCGCUUAUGCGGUUUUAGCAGUCAUUUCUAACUGUUAUCCCCCUGUAUGAGGCAGGUUACCCACGCGUUACUCACCCGUCCGCCA